rnacentral:rRNA from 1 species
AUGUCGAGCUCCACUUCAGGCUCCCGCCCCUCGUGGGCCCAGUAUGGUGCACUGCCCAUGGAGCGAUGUCCUGACUGCCCACGCACCGCACCACUAAAAAGGUUGACUUUGAGGGAGGACAAGAAUGGCAACUUUGGGUGCGAGUUCGUGAAAUGCGAGAGCAAGGCAGAGGGACAGAUCGUGAAGAAAUGCAUACAUUUUGAAUGGCUGGAUGACUACAUUCGUAGGCUUCAAGGGAAGGGCAUGCUUCAAUUCAAUGGGGCCGCAACCCAGGAGCUCAAUCCACCGUCAGUCACUCAGAAUUUGGUCUUUGAAAGUGUUGCUUCGAUAGUUGGGGAGGCGGAUCUGAAGGGGGAAAUAAAGAAGAUGAACAAGAACUUGAGGAAUAUGAUUCAAUUGAACAAGCAGGUGAAUCUGAUAGCUUUAGGAUUUUAUUUUUGUAUAGUUGCUCUAGGGUGA